rnacentral:rRNA from 1 species
GCGUGCCUAAUACAUGCAAGUCGAGCGAAGUUUUUCUGGUGCUUGCACUAGAAAAACUUAGCGGCGAACGGGUGAGUAACACGUAAAGAACCUGCCUCAUAGACUGGGACAACUAUUGGAAACGAUAGCUAAUACCGGAUAACAGCAUUAACUGCAUGGUUGAUGUUUAAAAGUUGGUUAUGCUAACACUAUGAGAUGGCUUUGCGGUGCAUUAGCUAGUUGGUGGGGUAAAGGCCUACCAAGGCGACGAUGCAUAGCCGACCUGAGAGGGUGAUCGGCCACACUGGGACUGAGACACGGCCCAGACUCCUACGGGAGGCAGCAGUAGGGAAUCUUCCGCAAUGGGCGAAAGCCUGACGGAGCAACGCCGCGUGAGUGAAGAAGGAUUUCGGUUCGUAAAGCUCUGUUGUUAGGGAAGAAUGGAUAUGUAGUAACUA